rnacentral:lncRNA from 1 species
CUUCUGUGAGCAACUGGGUCUCUCAGUUCUUUGGGAGCACCCUGGGAAACAGUGUGGCUAUGACUUGGAGCUGCUCACCAGUUCCAGUCAUUCUGUGGUUGAGAGCUGCUCCCUAUGGAUGUUAAUUCUUCUCUAUUUUAGAUUUUCCACAGGUGUGGGCCCCAUUAGCUCUGGCCACCUGAGAAAGCCCUCAGGCAAAGAGUCGCAGGUGAAAGCCAGCAGUUAGAGGUUCACAGAAAUGGCAACUUUCUCUAUGGUGGGUACCGUAGAAGACUAGAAGUUUCUAUUAUAACACAUUCAUCAUUUUGAAAAAUGAAGGUGGCUGGCUGCAGUGGCUCACGCCUGUAAUCCCAGCACUUUGGGAGGCCGAGGCGGGUGGAUCACCUGAGGUCAGGAGUUCGAGACCAGCCUGGACAACAUGGUGAAACCCUGUCUCUACUAAAAAUACAAAAUUAGCUGGGUGUGGUGGCGGGUGCCUGUAAUCCCAGCUACUUGGGAGGCUGAGGCAGGAGAAUAGCUUGCACCCAGGAGGCGAAGGUUGCAGUGAGUCGAGAUCAUGCCACGGCACUCUAGCCUGGACAACAGAACGAGACUCCGUCUCAAAAAAAAAAAAAAAAAGUGUGAAGCUAUCUGAAGAUUGACUCAAUUGACCUGAUGCAAUGAGGAAGUCCACUAGAGGAUUUAAGCAAUAGGCCAAGUUUUCAAUCAAAUCUUAAAAUAAUUAAGUGACCUUAAAAUUCUUGACUAAAUUUCUGAGUGAUCACUUGUGUAUUCUCAUCAAAUGAGGUAGUUAAGAGACCUGAGGAAGAGAAUACUUUUGGAUCUGAGUUUCUGUCUGUUAAGUAAAAAUGGAUUUGUUGUAUAAUCUGAGUAAGCUGUUUACCAUCUCAAGAGUCUCCAUUAAGAAAAAAAAUGUUAGAUAGUGGACAACAAUGCUCUCUUUAUGAGGAUUACAUGGUGUAAAGUGACUGUCAUGUGUCAAAGCUUCAUAAAUUGGGGAAAUAGAUAAAUAACUGUGGAUAGUUUUGCCUUUUUGUAAACAGAUACUGAUAAAAAGACCUAGAAUAAAGGCUCUCUCUUUUAAUAAUUUCUGAAUUUCUUGUAACUUUCCACUGCCUUUCACUCAAACUCCCCAUUACUCCAGUUAUGCAGCAUUUAUGCUGGGGGCUUUAUGGGCUGCCAUUGCUGCUGUGCAUGCUUUUCCAUUUAAUUUUAAAGUUCCAUUGUUCUAGGGCAUUAGGAUUGUUAUCAGAUUUCUUAAGGUCAAGGUCAGUGAGUCAAAUAUACUGGAGCAUAAAACAUUUUUUUCAUCCUUUUAAAAGUCACAUUUAUUUUGAAAAGACCAGGAAACCCACCCAUCUUUACCUCUCCUUAAUGUUGAUCCAAUCUGAGCUUUAAAUUUUUUACUUUUUGCAGCAUGAUUUGUAACAUAGAUGGCUAGCCUUAAAUUUGGCCAAAAAAAAAAAAAAAAAGGGUUUCUUUUUUGCUUUUGCUGAAGCGAGCCCUUCUGGUCAUCUAUAGGUCAGCUCUUGUUGGUGAACUGAUGACAGUGGAGGCACCUGCACUUUGGAAAUAAACAUUAUAUCAAAAGAAGUCAAGCAGCAAAGGUUAAACCAGAACAUGGACCCUGUUGCUCACAUGAGCCCCAGGCAGGCAUUCUAUAGAAUCUGAGAAGCUAGUCUCUAGGGAGAGGCAGAACUUUGUGUUCUCGCCCAAUCACUCUCCACUGCUGCUCAGGACAAUGCAGACAUGCCCUAGUGAAAGUCAGCUCUACCCACGCAAAGCGAGAUAGGAGAACAUUUUAGGGUGAAACUAGAAAAUGAUACAUGAAGAUAAUUGCAAAAAAUAAAGUGAUUUUAAAGUUUUCUUUGGGGCAUGGUCAUCUGCAUGGGGAUAUCUAGAACUGUGGCAGCCAUCUGGAGACCUUGAAGCAAGUCAGUCUAAAAGCAGACACUUUGCUAUGUCUUAAAUCUCACUAUUGGCAAAAUGGAAAGAAGAAAAGCAUCUAUGUUUAUUACUUCCACUGGUUUACUGAAUUAACCAACAUAACAAGAAAGGAGAGAGUUUCAGGAAUUUUUGUAUGUUAAAGAAGUGAUUUUUAGAUGUUAGCAACUAUAAAC